UUAAGUCGACCGCCUGGGGAGUACGGCCGCAAGGUUAAAACUCAAAUGAAUUGACGGGGGCCCGCACAAGCGGUGGAGCAUGUGGUUUAAUUCGAUGCAACGCGAAGAACCUUACCUGGUCUUGACAUCCACGGAAGUUUUCAGAGAUGAGAAUGUGCCUUCGGGAACCGUGAGACAGGUGCUGCAUGGCUGUCGUCAGCUCGUGUUGUGAAAUGUUGGGUUAAGUCCCGCAACGAGCGCAACCCUUAUCCUUUGUUGCCAGCGGUCCGGCCGGGAACUCAAAGGAGACUGCCAGUGAUAAACUGGAGGAAGGUGGGGAUGACGUCAAGUCAUCAUGGCCCUUACGACCAGGGCUACACACGUGCUACAAUGGCGCAUACAAAGAGAAGCGACCUCGCGAGAGCAAGCGGACCUCAUAAAGUGCGUCGUAGUCCGGAUUGGAGUCUGCAACUCGACUCCAUGAAGUCGGAAUCGCUAGUAAUCGUGGAUCAGAAUGCCACGGUGAAUACGUUCCCGGGCCUUGUACACACCGCCCGUCACACCAUGGGAGUGGGUUGCAAAAGAAGUAGGUAGCUUAACCUUCGGGAGGGCGCUUACCACUUUGUGAUUCAUGACUGGGGUGAAGUCGUAACAAGGUAACCGUAGGGGAACCUGCGGUUGGAUCAC
rnacentral:rRNA from 4 species